GUGGCAGGUAGGCUAGUGGUUAGAGUGUAGAGGAGGCAGGUAGCCUAGUGGUUAGAGUGUAGAGGAGGCAGGUAGCCUAGUGGUUAGAGUGUAGAGGUGGCAGGUAGCCUAGUGGUUAGAGUGUAGAGGAGGCAGGUAGCCUAGUGGUUAGAGUGUAGAGGAAGCAGGUAGCCUAGUGGUUAGAGUGUAGAGGGGGCAGGUAGCCUAGUGGUUAGAGUGUAGAGGAGGCAGGUAGUCUAGUGGUUAGAGUGUAGAGGAGGCAGGUAGCCUAGUGGUUAGAGUGUAGAGGAGGUAGGUAGCCUAGUGGUUAGAGUGUAGAGGAGGCAGGUAGCCUAGUGGUUAGAGUGUAGAGGAGGCAGGUAGCCUAGUGGUUAGAGUGUAGAGUAGGCAGGUAGCCUAGUGGUUAGAGUGUAGAGGAGGCAGGUAGCCUAGUGGUUAGAGUGUAGAGGAGGCAGGUAGCCUAGUGGUUAGAGUGUAGAUGUGGCAGGUAGCCUAGUGGUUAGAGUGUAGAGGAGGCAGGUAGCCUAGUGGUUAGAGUGUAGAGGAGGUAGGUAGCCUAGUGGUUAGAGUGCAGAGGAGGCAGGUAGCCUAGUGGUUAGAGUGUAGAGGAGGCAGGUAGCCUAGUGGUUAGAGUGUAGAGGAGGUAGGUAGCCUAGUGGUUAGAGUGUAGAGGA
ensembl:lncRNA